rnacentral:rRNA from 1 species
AUUGAACGCUGGCGGCAGGCCUAACACAUGCAAGUCGAACGGUAGCACAGAGGAGCUUGCUCCUUGGGUGACGAGUGGCGGACGGGUGAGUAAUGUCUGGGAAACUGCCCGAUGGAGGGGGAUAACUACUGGAAACGGUAGCUAAUACCGCAUAACGUCGCAAGACCAGAGAGGGGGACCUUCGGGCCUCUUGCCAUCGGAUGUGCCCAGAUGGGAUUAGCUAGUAGGUGGGGUAACGGCUCACCUAGGCGACGAUCCCUAGCUGGUCUGAGGGGAUGACCAGCCACACUGGAACUGAGACACGGUCCAGACUCCUACGGGAGGCAGCAGUGGGGAAUAUUGCACAAUGGGCGCAAGCCUGAUGCAGCCAUGCCGCGUGUAUGAAGAAGGCCUUCGGGUUGUAAAGUACUUUCAGCGAGGAGGAAGGUGUUGUGGUUAAUAACCGCAGCAAUUGACGUUACUCGCAGAAGAAGCACCGGCUAACUCCGUGCCAGCCGCCGCGGUAA